rnacentral:pre_miRNA from 1 species
ACGGCAUUUUUUUAUGAAUUCUUUUCUAAGUACUAGUGCCGCAGGAGUAAUUUAGUCUCCUGCUGCCCAAGUGCUUAUCAAAGUGUUCAAUAAAUCCACGUG